UUUUUAAGAAGGCAAGAGGAAGCUUGGUUGGGAGAAGCAAAACCCUGACGCGCUUGGGGGUCAGGGUGAAGCAGACAGCCCUGGGAAGUGUUCUGGAGGAAAGAAAAGAAGCCAUCGAGCCCCACACAUGCUCCUCUUUAAUAGUCCUUAACUGAACUACUCAAAUGGAUUGAAACAAAGAAGAUAUUCACCCUGCCUGCAGAAGAAACUGCAGCUCUCAAAAAUUGCUUUCCUGCAUCAGCUAUGUCCUGUUCCAUCUGUGUAGCCAAGGCACUCAGGCUGGUGGUGUCACCUUCUGAAGCUCAGGAACAGCAAAUAUCUCUUUGUGUCAAUUGAAGAGGUGCAGACAAAAUUUCAACAAAAUGUUACUUGAUUUUUUUUUUUAAAUAAAAAAACUGGGGGAAGAUAGUAUGGAAUUCUGUUGUCCAGCAAGGGCAGUAUGUGUAGGGAUUUUGAUCAAAUUCUGGCAUAAUGAAGCAAGGGACCCCUAAAUAGUUCCCUUUGGUUGUACAGAUUGUUACUUCAAGGUGGAGGGGCUUAUGUGUUAUUAUUAGUUUUGAAGAUGGAAAAUGCUCUCUGUGAGUGCUUAGGUAGCAACAGACAAAAAUUAAUUUCAACUGAUAGGGGAGGAAAGGAUCCUCUUAUUGAAAGUGAAAGGCAGUUGGGCAAAUGAAGUUCAGACGAUCACUGGAGAAGGCACAAAUGGAUAAUAAACAUAAAGCUGUGUAACAGUGCAUCAUUUCAGCUGAAUUUUUGUACUUGAUUUGGCUUCUUGGUGGUUGGCAAUUAUUUAUGUGUGGUUUAAAUUAAACCUGGGUUUUCAAAACCACCUGUUAAGUGAACAAAUCCAGCCUAGUUUAGGAUUUUUUUAAUUUUUAGGCAUUUGAUUUUUCCAGAUAAGAGUUAGUGCAGACUUCUGUCAGCACAGUGUCGCAGCAGAAGAGGAGCAGCAGACCACUGCUGAGUGACAGCCUACAGCUCUGAAAUGUGCCAUCCAUCCCCUGGAAAUUUCACAUAAUCUUUUCCAUUCGUCAUCAGCCAGGUUGCUGAUUACCAGAGUAACUGCCAAGCUUUCAACUCCUUGUCAUCAAUGGGCUGUGAAUGACAGACAGCAUUAAUGUUGGCAAGCUCCCACUCUCCUUUUUGCCUUUCCCAAAUGUAAUUAAACUGCACUAAUACAGCAAAAGAAAAGCUGCAGCUUUAUUUUACUCACCCUAAUAACAUAACAAUUAAAUCAGAGAAGCACACAAUUCAGUCAAAUAAACCCACCACGACAAGGAGAUUCAGAGGUAAGGCAAGUGUGGAAUCCCUCUCCUAGAGCCUGGGGAAAGGCCUCCCGUGUUUGCCCUUCUGUUGCAUCUUUGGGUUAAGCAUAAAGGGAAUGAU